rnacentral:rRNA from 1 species
UAUAUCGGAACGUGCCCAGUCGUGGGGGAUAACGCAGCGAAAGCUGUGCUAAUACCGCAUACGAUCUACGGAUGAAAGCGGGGGACUCGCAAGAGCCUCGCGCGAUUGGAGCGGCCGAUAUCAGAUUAGCUAGUUGGUGGGGUAAAAGCCCACCAAGGCGACGAUCUGUAGCUGGUCUGAGAGGACGACCAGCCACACUGGAACUGAGACACGGUCCAG